rnacentral:rRNA from 1 species
GUGCAGCAGGCGCGAAAACUCCGCAAUGCGCGAAAGCGUGACGGGGUCACCCCGAGUGUCACCCGCUGAGGGUGACUUUUACCCGGUUUAAUGAGCCGGGUGAAUAAGGGGAGGGCAAGUCUGGUGUCAGCCGCCGCGGUAAUACCAGCUCCUCGAGUGGUUGGGACGAUUAUUGGGUCUAAAGCGUCCGUAGCCGGCCGGAAAAGUUCCCCGUUAAAUCCGACGAUCCAAUCGCCGGGCUGCGGAGAAUACUGUCCGUCUUGGCGGCGGGGGAGGUCAGCGGUAGUCCCGGGGUAGGGGCGAAAUCUUAUAAUCCCGGGAGGAACACCAGUGGCGAAGGCGGCCGACUAAAACGCGCCCGACGGUGAGGGACGAAAGCUGGGGGAGCGAACGGGAUUAGAUACCCCCGUAGUCC